rnacentral:rRNA from 1 species
GUGCCAGCAGCCGCGGUAAUACGUAGGGGGCAAGCGUUGUCCGGAAUUACUGGGCGUAAAGCGCGUGUAGGCGGGACGACAAGUCCGGCGUGAAAGGCUUGGGCUCAACCCGAGAUGGCCGUUGGAAACUGUCGUUCUUGAGGGUCGAAGAGGAGAGUGGAAUUCCUGGUGUAGCGGUGAAAUGCGUAGAGAUCAGGAGGAACACCCAUGGCGAAGGCAGCUCUCUGGUCGACCUCUGACGCUGAGACGCGAAAGCGUGGGGAGCGAACGGGAUUAGAUACCCUAGUAGUCC